UGGCUCCAACCUAGGAACUGCAUUCAAACCAUUAAGCUAGAGGACGAGAGAGGAGAGUAGAAUUUCAGGUGUAGCGGUGAAAUGCGUAGAUAUCUGAAGGAAUACCAAUGGCGAAGGCAGCUCUCUGGAUCGUUUCUGACGCUAAGGUGCGAAAGCGUGGGUAGCAAACAGGAUUAGAUACCCUGGUAGUCCACGCCGUAAACGAUGAUAACUAGCCGUUGGGCAGAUUUAACUGUUCAGUGGCACAGCUAACGCAUUAAGUUAUCCGCCUGGGGAGUACGGCCGCAAGGCUAAAACUCAAAUGAAUUGACGGGGGCCCGCACAAGUGGUGGAGCAUGUGGUUUAAUUCGAUGCAACGCGAAGAACCUUACCAACCUUUGAAAUCCAGAGAAGUCACCAGAGAUGGAGAUGUGCCUUCGGGAACUCUGUGACAGGUGUUGCAUGGCUGUCGUCAGCUCGUGUCGUGAGAUGUAUGGUUAAGUCCAGUAACGAGCGCAACCCCUAUCCUUAUUUGCCAGCGCGUAAUGGCGGGAACUAUAGGGAGACUGCCGGUCAAAAACCGGAGGAAGGCGGGGACGAGGUCAAGUCAUCAUGGCCCUUAUAGGUUGGGCUACACACGUGCUACAAUGGGAUGUACAGAGGGUCGCCAAAGCGCAAGCUGGAGCCAAACCCUUAAAGCAUUUCGUAGUCCGGAUUGGAGUCUGCAACUCGACUCCAUGAAGUCGGAAUCACUAGUAAUCGCGAAUCAGAAUGUCGCGGUGAAUACGUUCUCGGGCCUUGUACACACCG
rnacentral:rRNA from 1 species